rnacentral:rRNA from 1 species
GUUAGCGGCGGACGGGUGAGUAACACGUGGGUAACCUGCCUUAUAGAUUGGGAUAACUCCGGGAAACCGGGGCUAAUACCGAAUAAUACUUUUAAACACAUGUUUGAAAGUUGAAAGACGGUUUCGGCUGUCACUAUAAGAUGGACCCGCGGCGCAUUAGCUAGUUGGUGAGGUAACGGCUCACCAAGGCAACGAUGCGUAGCCGACCUGAGAGGGUGAUCGGCCACACUGGGACUGAGACACGGCCCAGACUCCUACGGGAGGCAGCAGUAGGGAAUCUUCCACAAUGGACGAAAGUCUGAUGGAGCAACGCCGCGUGAGUGAAGAAGGAUUUCGGUUCGUAAAACUCUGUUGCAAGGGAAGAACAAGUAGCGUAGUAACUGGCGCUACCUUGACGGUACCUUGUUAGAAAGCCACGGCUAACUACGUGCCAGCAGCCGCGGUAAUACGUAGGUGGCAAGCGUUGUCCGGAAUUAUU